CCUGAAUUGAGUUGACCCUUUUUUAUUAUUAACCAGUCCAUUAUUUGUCAUAUGUGGGUAUCUAAAUAUUUUAAGCCUGUUUUACACAUUUACAUAGGAAUAUUUUUUCUUGUGUUUUUGGAAAGCAAAUUUUUUUAUUUUAACAGAUGGGACCAGAUGUGGUGGUAUGUAUCUGCAGUAUCAGCUUAUGGGGGCGGUUGAGGCAGGAGAAUCACUUGAGCCCAGGAGUUUCCAGGACAUCCCACAACAUAGCAAGACCCCAUCUCAGAAAGAAAACAAAACCCACAGGGAAGCUAAUGUCAAAGCUUUAAGAUAUAGGGUGGCACUGGAAAUGUAUUUUUGAUGUAUGUGGAGAAAAUUACUAGUCAGCCAGGAAAACAUCAGAAUCAUAAACUACUGGGUACAGAUCCAGAAAAUGUUGAAGAUGUAAUUUCUGGAGCUGGGGAUGUAGCCCAAGUGAUAGAGCUUUUGCCUAGAAUGAAUUAUGGGUUUUAUCCAUAACUGGGUGGCGACAGGGUUUCUGUGUGUGUGUAUGUGUGUGUGUGUAAACUGGUUAGUUGGUAUCAUGUCAUCAAUCAAACAUUAUCUUGCAGAGCCAGGAGGUACUCCUGUGGUUUGCAGGGUAAUUCCUUAUUUUCAAACCUUUUUCACUCUUUUAUCUCUAUCUGUGCCCCCUUCCCCCCCUUCUAUUUCCCUGGUGCUGGGGAUUAAACCUGGGGCCUUGUGAAUUGCUAGGCAAGUGUUCUACCGCUGAACCAUACUCUCAGCCUGAGAGCUUUUUACUCUAAGCUUGUAGAACCUAUUUCUUCCUAUACAUUUCACUUUUCCAGCUUUGGGCUCCCCUCCUCCCUAAAGGAUUCAGUCAAUCCGCAGCAUCUUUCUCCUUUAUUUCACCCAUCACUUGGAACCCACUGUCAGCAGCUCACUGUUCCCACCCAAUUCAUUCAUUCAUUCAACUACUAUCUAUUCAGUGCAGGCAUUGAGCAAGAAGUUAAGGAUGCAGGGAUCAAUACCAC
rnacentral:lncRNA from 1 species